UACGGGGGGGCAAGCGUUGUUCGGAAUUACUGGGCGUAAAGGGCUCGUAGGCGGCCAACUAAGUCAGACGUGAAAUCCCCAGGCUCAACCUGGGAACUGCGUCUGAUACUGGAUGGCUUGAAUCCGGGAGAGGGAUGCAGAAUUCCAGGUGUAGCGGUGAAAUGCGUAGAUAUCUGGAGGAAUACCGGUGGCGAAGGCGGCAUCCUGGACCGGCAUUGACGCUGAGGAGCGAAAGCCAGGGGAGCAAACGGG
rnacentral:rRNA from 1 species